rnacentral:lncRNA from 1 species
GAAAUUAGCACCUUAAACAACUUAACACUCUGUUAUUUCACUUCCAUCACACAAAAUUACAUUUUAAUGUGACAGCGAAAAUUUGGCAGAUUUGUUUUGCAGGGAAAUUGUCCAUUUCCCUCUCUUCCUUUUCUCUCCCAGUCUCUGUCUGUCUCUUUUUCUACAAUGUAACCUGUUUUGCCUGUUAUUGUCUCCCUGUGUAGUAAACUGUGAGAAGCACCAUGUGUCUGUGCUGCUCAUUCUAAGAGGAGCCUACGAAGAGGGGGCCGUGACAUCAGCUGUCAGAAAGUUGGAGGUGGGCUGCAUUCGGUCCUCACAGCCCCUAGUCAAUAAGAACGUGGAGUUCAGUUGGGAGGGGCUUCGGACACUGCAACAAAAGGGCUUCAGCGUGGAGCCGACCAGAGGCAUAAUUGAUGCAGGCCACAGAUGCACCAUCACUGUGAUCUGGACUCCCCCUAGGG